GCCACGCCCCCAACUUUACCGGGAUUCGUCUUCUCCUUCUGUGUCUGGCUCCUGUGGUCUUGGCAGCAUUCUGCAGCGACUUCAGAGUUGGAGAUGAGGGUGGGCACCGGGGACGCGAGUUGUUUAUGCUCCGGUUUCCAUGGAGCUCCCCUGUGACGCGGCGCAUCUGUGACGUCGCGGUUGUGAGACGCGGAAGUGACUCGUGAUGGCUGGCGGGCGGGUGCGCCGUGGAGCAGGGGUUUGUUAUGUUGUGCCGGGUUGCCAUGACGCCGGGUUGUCAUCUGGGCGCGCCAGGGGGCGCGCAUCGCACGUGUAUUGGCGUCAUUGACCCGGGAGACGGCGCGACGGCUUCCUGACGGGGGGAUACGAGGUUAUGAAAUGCAUGGAAAUGCUGCCAGCGGCACGGCAACUUGCCGCCUUACAGCCUGAUCUCACCGAGUUUUGUGCGCAGUUCUAUAUGGCUGCGAACUAAAAGCAGCAAGUCCGGAGGUACCAUAGGUGCGGUAUAUAGCCACGCUUAGUCAUGCAGCUAGGUGACUUUCAGUUAAUAUAACAUUUAUUUAAAAAAAUUUUAUCAAGAAUAUUUUUAUGUUAUGGCAGUAAUAAUAAGAAUCAACAACAAUGAUUUUUUUUUUUUACAGUGAUUCUCUGAAAGGGAAAUUAUCAUAAAACUUAAUUUUUUGUUCUGUUAGAA